CGGAUAAGAGGCUGAAACUCGCCUCUUUGAAGUCGGAAUCGCUAGUAAUCGCAGAUCAGCAUGUUGCGGUGAAUACGUUUCCUGGUCUUGUACACACCGCCCGUCAAACCAUGAGAGUCGCCAACACCCGAAGUCCGCUUUGCGGCCUAAGGUGGGGAGAUGAUUGGGGUUAAGUCGUAACAAGGUAAC
rnacentral:rRNA from 1 species